rnacentral:rRNA from 1 species
UACGUAGGGCGCAAGCGUUGUCCGGAAUUAUUGGGCGUAAAGAGCUCGUAGGCGGCCUGUUACGUCUGCUGUGAAAUCCCGGGGCUUAACCCCGGGCGUGCAGUGGAUACGGGCAGGCUGGAGGCAGGCAGGGGAGAACGGAAUUCCCGGUGUAGCGGUGAAAUGCGCAGAUAUCGGGAGGAACACCGGUGGCGAAGGCGGUUCUCUGGGCCUAUACUGACGCUGAGGGGCGAAAGCGUGGGGAGCGAACAGG